UGGGGAAUAUUGGACAAUGGGCGCAAGCCUGAUCCAGCCAUGCCGCGUGAGUGAUGAAGGCUCUAGGGUUGUAAAGCUCUUUCACCGGUGAAGAUAAUGACGGUAACCGGAGAAGAAGCCCCGGCUAACUUCGUGCCAGCAGCUGCGUUAAUACGAAGGGGGCUAGCGUUGUUCGGAUUUACUGGGCGUAAAGCGCACGUAGGCGGUCUAUUAAGUCAGGGGUGAAAUCCCGGGGCUCAACCCCGGAACUGCCUUUGAUACUGGUAGUCUUGGAUUCGAGAGAGGUGAGUGGAAUUCAGAGUGUAAGGGUGAAAUUCGUAGAUAUUCGGAGGAAAACCAGUGACAGAAGCGGCUCACUGGCUCGAUACUGACGCUGGGGUGAGAAAGGGUGGGGAGCAAACAGG
rnacentral:rRNA from 1 species